GGCCAGCAGAUCCCUUGGAGCUGGAGUUACAGGCGAUCACGUUGGCGUUGAGAAACCAUCUCAGGUCGUCUGGAAGAACAGUCAGUGCUCUUAACCGCUGAGCCAUCUCUCCAGCUCCAAAACCUCAUUUCUUUUUUUUUUUUUUUCUUUUUUCUUUUUUUCGGAGCUGGGGACCGAACCCAGGGCCUUGUGCUCGCUAGGCAAGCUAGGCAAGCGCUCUUCCGCUGAGCUAAAUCCCCAACCCCCAAAACCUCAUUUCUUUUUUAAUUUUUUUUUUUUUUUGGUUCUUUUUUUCGGAGCUGGGGACCGAACCCAGGGCCUUGCGCUUCCUAGGUAAGCGCUCUACCACUGAGCUAAAUCCCCAGCCAAAACCUCAUUUCUUAAAGAUCACACAACCUCCAUACAGAACCAUCACUAAGGGACCAAGCUACCAACAGACAGCCUCUGGGGACAUUUCAGAUCCGGGUCAUAGAGAGUGAUCGGUAUCACUUGACACAAUUUAAGAAGAUUCCAUGGAAGAGGCAGACAACAGAUCUACUUUAACUGUGAGAGGCUUCAUGUGUCAGCCCUGCCGGCAGGGUAUGACGUAGCCUAGGAGACUCCCUAUGUGGCUGAGGAUGGUUUUGAACUUUUGAUCCUCCCACCUCUCCUCCCAAGUGCUGGGAUUACUGGUGUGCACCACACCACACCUGGCUUGUCUAUUGUUGGGGAAGGAACCAUGGUUCUGUGAAUACAAGAUUCUGGGAUUAAACUCGGGCCUUCAGGCUUGGAGGCAAGCUGCUUUAUCCACUGGGCCAUCUUGCUAGCCCAUACUGUAUCUUCUACUUCCCUGAAGUUAUUUCCUGUGGGCCAGUGGACCACGCCAGGACACUUGCACACGGACUCACAUCCGGCUUCUCCCAGCUCUACCUGCCCAAGUGGAGUGUCCCACACCUCAGUGGCCGGGCGGAUGAAGACCCACAAUUUCCACCCUGUGAAUAUCCUUUUGUGUAAAUAAUGAAUCUGUGCAUGUGAAUGUGCAUGCACAUACCUGUGGAGGUUGGAGGACAAUCUGGUGUGGCUGCUUGUAUUACGAAUGCGAAUUAUGUUCCUCAUAAAACCGUAAACGCGAGAGGGUCUGCACGUAGCUUCUGGGAACCUGCCCCCAGUUGGUUCUGAUUGGUGAACAAAGAUGCCAGCAGCCAAUAGCUGGGAAGGACAGACAGAGGCGGGAUUUUAGCAUUUCCCUAGCCUGGGACCAAUAGCAGAGAGGAGAAGAAGGGGAAAGUGGAAGAGAGGAGAGUUGCCAUGCCUGAGAAGAGUGCAGGACAGAGAGGCAUGGCCGCCAAUGGAAGGAAUUAGGAGAGUGCGGCCCCGGGGGCCUCCCAACAGAGUCUGGAGCGGCCACCACAUAGAAUUUAGUAAGUAGUAACUUAGAAUUAUUGCCGGGAGGUAGAUACAAACAGCAUGGAGGUUAGGCGGUGGCCGGCUCUUGUGCUGUUUAAGGCAUAUGAACAUACAAAGGCUGAGCGUGUGUCUUUCAUUCGGGAACAUAAACCAUUGGGCCGGCAAAGCCCAGCCACCAGGAUUAAUUAAUAUUUAAUGUUACACUGUGGAUGUCAGCCUCAGGAUCAUCAUCCACCUCCUUUGAGACAAGGUUUCUGAUUGGCCUGGAGCUCACCAUUUAGGCUAAACUGAUCAGCUAGUGAUACCCUGGAGCCUCCUUUCUCCACACCCCCAGUGUUGGCAUUACAAGUACGCGUGAGGCCAUCCCCCUCCCCCUCUUUAUGGCCAUUUUACUAAGUCAGGGAAGGAGGGGAAUUCAGGCUACCAUUUCCCACUGGAGACCUUCUGACAAUCUUUCUACCCGCUUCAAUGUAUCUCUUGCGUUCACUUCUGUCUCCCUGAUCCGCAGCCCGGCAGCCAUGGCUGUACUGUCUUAGAAGACUUUUGAAAGUUGAGGCUUCUGCUGAGAACAUCACGAGGUCCAAGUUCACCAGUGACUUCAGCUUCACAGGGCAAAGGUCACCGGCCCGUUUGUUGUCUGUGGUGGUUUGAAUGAUACUGUUUCUCGAAGACUCUGAUGUUUGAACACUUGGUCACCAAUUGGUGGCACUGUUUAGGUUUAAGUGGUGCAGCCCUUUUGGAGGAAGUACAUCAAUGAGGGCGGGGCUUGAGAGUGUCUAGCCUUUCCUCACUUCCGGUCUGUUUUUUCCGGCUUUCUGCUUGCCUUUGCGGAUGUAAGCAUGCAGCUUCUAGCUCCUGCCACCAUUCCUGCAGCUCCCUGCCAUUCCUCCUGCCACAAUGGUUUUAACCCUCUGGAACCAUGGACUCAAUUAAACCCUUCCAUUGUAGAGUUACCUUGGUCGUGGUAGUUUAUCACAGACACUGGAAGGGAAUAGUAUCUAUCCCAUUUCCUGUCUCACAGGAGCCAGAAGAAGAGGGACCUAAACGAGAGAGAGAGGGAGAGGGAGAGAGAGAGAAAGACAGAGAGACAGAGACAGGGAGACAAAGUCAGAGAGACAGAGAGAGACAGAGAAAGACAGAGAGAGAGAGAGAGAGGGGGAGAGAGAGAGAGAGAGAGAGAGAGAGAGAGAGAGAGAGAGAGAGAGAGACAGAGGGCUGUGGAGAUCUCAAGGACAGAUUCAAUGAUCUAGCAAAACUGUCAGCAAGGGCCACGACAUGCUGUGUGUUACGGUUGUAAUAUUUUGAAAACAAUCCUUUUGUUGUUAUUGUUGAUAAAGCCUUCUGUGAAAAUCUCAUGCUGAAAAUUCCAAUCAUGUCAGGGUCACUAUCCAUUUCCCCUCAUAGUGUUAGAGAGACGCUUGAAACACACACCUGCACACGCAUGCACACACACACACACACACACACACACACACACACACACACCAGCAAACUGC